GCCAGUGUGAGGUAGUGGUUUGAGUGUUGGACUAAGACUCUGAAUAUCCAAGGUUCAAAUCCCUGUUUUACCA